GACGAACGCUGGCGGCGUGCUUAACACAUGCAAGUCGAACGGAAAGGCCCUGCUUUUGUGGGGUGCUCGAGUGGCGAACGGGUGAGUAACACGUGAGUAACCUGCCCUUGUCUUUGGGAUAACUUCAGGAAACUGGGGCUAAUACCGGAUAGGAGCUCCUGCUGCAUGGUGGGGGUUGGAAAGUUUCGGCGGUUGGGGAUGGACUCGCGGCUUAUCAGCUUGUUGGUGGGGUAGUGGCUUACCAAGGCUUUGACGGGUAGCCGGCCUGAGAGGGUGACCGGCCACCUUGGGACUGAGAUACGGCCCAGACUCCUACGGGAGGCAGCAGUGGGGAAUAUUGCACAAUGGGCGGAAGCCUGAUGCAGCAACGCCGCGUGCGGGAUGACGGCCUUCGGGUUGUAAACCGCUUUCGCCUGUGACGAAGCGUGAGUGACGGUAAUGGGUAAAGAAGCACCGGCUAACUACGUG
rnacentral:rRNA from 1 species